rnacentral:rRNA from 1 species
AAGUCGUAACAAGGUAACCGUAGGUGAACCUGCGGUUGGAUCAUUACAAAAUUUUUGGUCAUUGUACCAAAUACCUUGUGUGCACUAUCAUUGUCUUUGGUAAUUCGAGUGCGUUGCAACUUCAACAAUUGCAGCUGCCUACCCUUUGUGGUGUCAAAGCCCAUCGGGUUGGAUUACCGACUUUGAACAAACUUUUAUAUUUUUGUUUUGAUAUCUGAUUUGGAUUCAAUCCAUGUGAUUAAUCUAUAUUAAACAACUUUUGACAACGGAUCUCUUGGCUCUCGCAACGAUGAAGAACGCAGCGAAAUGCGAUACGUAAUGUGAAUUGCAGAAUUCAGUGAAUCAUCGAAUCUUUGAACGCACAUUGCGCUCCUUGGUAUUCCGGGGAGCAUGCCUGUUUGAGAAUCAGUAAAAUCCUCAACCGAUCCUUGUUGAAAAACAUGUAUCGGUUGGAUCUGGGCCUUUUGCACCCCUACGGGUGUAAUCGCUCGAAAUGCAAUGCCAGAAAGGUUCUUGUAUGUAGUUGCAGACCUUACAGUGCAUGAAUGGUGUUUACACUUUUCAGAACGCUGGUUGAUGUUGUAGCAUGAUACACGAGUCUGUUUUGAUUCAAAACCCAAACAGAUAUGAAUUUAA